rnacentral:rRNA from 1 species
UACAGAGGCCUCGAGCGUUAGGCGGAAUCACUGGGCUUAAAGCGUGUGUAGGCGGACCUCUAAGUACCUUGUGAAAUCCCACGGCUCACCCGUGGAACUGCUCGGUAUACUGGUUGUCUUGAGCCACUUAGGGGCUACCGGAACAAAUGGUGGAGCGGUGAAAUGCGUAGAUAUCAUUUGGAACGCCAAUGGUGAAAACAGGUAGCUGGGAGUGUGCUGACGCUGAGACACGAAAGCCAGGGGAGCGAACGGG